rnacentral:lncRNA from 1 species
CUCUGGAACACAGUGAACUCAAAAAGCCCAUCGGCGCGGGGCGCGCUUAGCAGCCAAGCCUUGCCACUCUCCAGAGACUGUGAGGUGAUUCUCCUUCGUCACCGCUUGGACCAGGAACCACAGCCCUGCAGUGGUUGGCAGUUUUCCUCAACUUUGCAAGAGAGACAGAGAGAUUUGGUUGGAAUGAAACCUUGCUCUCCGAACAGUCUGCUUGAGAUGCAGCAUUGAAAGAUCACUCACAAUCAGUUUGUGGCCUUCCUCUGAAGGAACCUUUCCUGUCUCUUCUGUAAGUAUUUGUUACCAAACAUUUUAUACUUUUCAAUGAGUUACACAUUUUGUUCAAGUUCCAUUUAGGGCAGUAGAGAGCCUUUGUGAACGUCUCUGUUACUGGCCACAAGAGUCAAUAUCGAGUUGUUAUACUGGUGCAGCAGUCCAGAAUUAUAAUGCAGCAUCAGCUUAUGGGACUCAGGCUUAGUUCAGUGACAUUGUGUGAUCAAUUGAUCUGGAAUUAAUAUGUGCAUUUCUGGAGGACUUCUGUUAAAUAUGGGGACAUAUUUGAUGCGAUGGGUAUUGCGUGUUUGAGCUCUGAGAAUAAAGCGUGUCGUAUUCCGUGCUGUGCAAGAGUUAAACAAGUAUAGGAAUCAGUCAACUAGCAUUUCAGCCCAUCCCUGCUGAUACCUGCCCUCAUGGCAUGGAAUCCUUCCUUACCCCAGUCCUUUCCAACCUAAUACCAACCUGCUCUUCUUAUCUGGGUAAACUAAAUAUGCUGUAUUCACCUUGACACCUAACAAUAUCAGAACUAAAAACCUGUUACUGGUUUCUUUGGAAAAUAUGAAGUAGGGUUCUGUUUUUGCCUGUUCUCCUUCACUUGCGUUUGGCUGCCGCUAUGUAAGUUACCAGUGCAGUGACUUUUUUCAUUGGAGAAAAUACAACAUAAAUCCAGAUAAUUGUGUUCUUAAGAACUGGAGCAGUUUAAAAAAAAAAAAAAUCAUUUGAGUUUUGCUUUUUCUUUUGGGGGGGCACGGGGAAUGGAACUCAGGGAGAAUUUGUUUGUUUUCUUUUAGUUUUUAAUCUUGCCAGGCUCUAAUCCGUGAUAGUUUUGUGUAUUUAGAACAAAAGUUUACAUUUUGCAUUGAGUUUUUAAUACAUAUUGGCAGUGAAAUCUACUGUUUUGUAACAAUGAAGCUUUUUGUUGUGAUAUAAAGGGAAAUAUAGAACUAGCACAUCAUAAUAUUUACUAAAGUAAA